GAUUAACGCUGGCGGCGUGCAUAACACAUGCAAGUCGAACGAAGUUGCGGACGGGUGAGUAACGCGUGAGUAACCUGCCUUAGAGAAGGGGAUAGCCUUUGGAAACGAAGAAUAAUACCCUAUGCUCUAAGAUGGACUUGCGUCUGAUUAGCUAGUUGGUGAGAUAAUAGCUCACCAAGGCAACGAUCAGUAGCUGGCUUGGGAGAAUGUACGGCAAAAUUGGGACUGAGACACGGCCCAGACUCGACGGGAGGCAGCAGUGGGGAAGUUGGCACAAGGGGUGAAACACGGAUGCAGCGACGCCGCGUGAUUUAGAAGGCCUUCGGGUUGUAAAAAUCUUUUCUAUGGGAAGCAGUACCAUAGGAAUAAGGACCGGCUAAUUACGUGCCAGCAGCCGCGGUAAUUC
rnacentral:rRNA from 1 species